AACGUAGGUGGCAAGCGUUGUCCGGAAUUACUGGGUGUAAAGGGAGCGCAGGCGGAAUGGCAAGUUGGAUGUGAAAUCCCGGGGCUCAACCCCGGAACUGCAUUCAAAACUGCUGUUCUUGAGUGAUGUAGAGGCAAGUGGAAUUCCCGGUGUAGCGGUGGAAUGCGUAGAUAUCGGGAGGAACACCAGUGGCGAAGGCGACUUGCUGGGCAUUUACUGACGCUGAGGCUCGAAAGUGUGGGGAGCAAAC
rnacentral:rRNA from 1 species